rnacentral:rRNA from 1 species
GACGAACGCUGGCGGCGUGCUUAACACAUGCAAGUCGAACGGAAAGGCCCUGCUUUUGUGGGGUGCUCGAGUGGCGAACGGGUGAGUAACACGUGAGUAACCUGCCCUUGACUUUGGGAUAACUUCAGGAAACUGGGGCUAAUACCGGAUAGGAGCUCCUGCUGCAUGGUGGGGGUUGGAAAGUUUCGGCGGUUGGGGAUGGACUCGCGGCUUAUCAGCUUGUUGGUGGGGUAGUGGCUUACCAAGGCUUUGACGGGUAGCCGGCCUGAGAGGGUGACCGGCCACAUUGGGACUGAGAUACGGCCCAGACUCCUACGGGAGGCAGCAGUGGGGAAUAUUGCACAAUGGGCGAAAGCCUGAUGCAGCAACGCCGCGUGCGGGAUGACGGCCUUCGGGUUGUAAACCGCUUUCGCCUGUGACGAAGCGUGAGUGACGGUAAUGGGUAAAGAAGCACCGGCUAACUACGUGCCAGCAGCCGCGGUGAUACGUAGGGUGCGAGCGUUGUCCGGAUUUAUUGGGCGUAAAGGGCUCGUAGGUGGUUGAUCGCGUCGGAAGUGUAAUCUUGGGGCUUAACCCUGAGCGUGCUUUCGAUACGGGUUGACUUGAGGAAGGUAGGGGAGAAUGGAAUUCCUGGUGGAGCGGUGGAAUGCGCAGAUAUCAGGAGGAACACCAGUGGCGAAGGCGGUUCUCUGGGCCUUUCCUGACGCUGAGGAGCGAAAGCGUGGGGAGCGAACAGGCUUAGAUACCCUGGUAGUCCACGCUGUAAACGGUGGGUACUAGGUGUGGGGUCCAUUCCACGGGUUCCGUGCCGUAGCUAACGCUUUAAGUACCCCGCCUGGGGAGUACGGCCGCAAGGCUAAAACUCAAAGGAAUUGACGGGGCCCCGCACAAGCGGCGGAGCAUGCGGAUUAAUUCGAUGCAACGCGUAGAACCUUACCUGGGUUUGACAUGGAUCGGGAGUGCUCAGAGAUGGGUGUGCCUCUUUUGGGGUCGGUUCACAGGUGGUGCAUGGCUGUCGUCAGCUCGUGUCGUGAGAUGUUGGGUUAAGUCCCGCAACGAGCGCAACCCUUGUUCACUGUUGCCAGCACGUUAUGGUGGGGACUCAGUGGAGACCGCCGGGGUCAACUCGGAGGAAGGUGGGGAUGACGUCAAGUCAUCAUGCCCCUUAUGUCCAGGGCUUCACGCAUGCUACAAUGGCUGGUACAGAGAGUGGCGAGCCUGUGAGGGUGAGCGAAUCUCGGAAAGCCGGUCUCAGUUCGGAUUGGGGUCUGCAACUCGACCUCAUGAAGUCGGAGUCGCUAGUAAUCGCAGAUCAGCAACGCUGCGGUGAAUACGUUCCCGGGGCU